rnacentral:rRNA from 1 species
UGGGGAAUAUUGGGCAAUGGACGCAAGUCUGACCCAGCAACGCCGCGUGAAGGAAGAAGGCUUUCGGGUUGUAAACUUCUUUUGUCAGGGAAGAGUAGAAGACGGUACCUGACGAAUAAGCCACGGCUAACUACGUGCCAGCAGCCGCGGUAAUACGUAGGUGGCAAGCGUUGUCCGGAUUUACUGGGUGUAAAGGGCGUGCAGCCGGGCCUGUAAGUCAGAUGUGAAAUCCGUGGGCUUAACCCACGAACUGCAUUUGAAACUGCGGGUCUUGAGUACCGGAGAGGUCAUCGGAAUUCCUAGUGUAGCGGUGAAAUGCGUAGAUAUUAGGAAGAACACCAGUGGCGAAGGCGGAUGACUGGACGGCAACUGACGGUGAGGCGCGAAAGCGUGGGGAGCAAACAGG